rnacentral:lncRNA from 1 species
UUUGGUUAGUAUGGAUGGCGUGUGAGGAUCAAAUUUGGAGGUUAGACCUCGUGUUAGUAAAAAUGUGUGACUUUUGAAUUAUGGAUCACCAAGCCUAUUUAGGAGUGUUUGGGAAUAAAGAAGGUAUUAAUCCAAUGGGGUUUACAGCAUAACAUCAUCGUAUCACACGCCAUCCAUGUGAAAUCUUAAAUAACACCUAGAAACACCAAGAGGCCAAUCUUCAACCAUAAGUCACUGGGAGUAGUUACUUGGGGAACAAGCCUUUUGGGGGCAUUCCAGCUCCUUUUAGUAUUAGCACUUGGACCUACAGGAGGCAUGAUUUUUGCACUAUCCUAGUGCUCAUUUCCGGGGAUGCGCCAGCAACCUAUUUAGGAGUCGUUCGGGUUUGUUUGGAAACUACCAGUGGGUGACAUUAGUAACUAUUGUGUGUUUAUCUCCUAUGUUUUAUUUUAAUGCACUGUUUAAUUAUGUUUUAAUUUUGUUUCAGAUUUAGUUUACAUAUUUAUAUAACAUAUUUGUAUAUUAUGGUAUUAAGUUCCCAAACUCAUGUAUCAUUUUGCGGUACUGUACGUUGCGCUCUGCGUUUUUGCCCAAAAGGUAUUACUUCUAAUAUUUUAUUGUUUAUUUAGGUCGAUUUCAUCUCAUUAUGUAAAUUUAGGUUGUAUUAUUUGUUUGUUUCCCAAAUAUGUUAUUUAUUCGCUUUAUUUCAUUUGUUCAGUUAAUUCGUCGCUACUUUAUUUUAUUGCAUUUGCUCGGGUAAUUUAGGUCAUUGUUUCAGUAUUUAUCUUAGCUUCAUUUUUAUAACUUUUAUUAAUGCAUUUGCUUAAAUCGUCAUGGUAUUUUCUCUUCGCCAGGCUUGUGCCUAUUUAUUUAUAUAUUAGUCAUAUUUUUCGGGUUUUAAUUCAGUUGUACGUAGCAAGCGUACUAUAACCAUUGGGUAGAAAUCUCAUGUGAGUUGUACCCUAUAUGUUAGUAAGAGGUACUUAUACCUUUAAGUUUUGUAACAGGUAACAUUAUUGUUAUUAUCUUAGACAAAUAUAGCUUUUAUAUAACAUAUGUCAUUUUAGAGUCACAUUAUAUUUAAUUUGUCUAACUCAGAGAUUGUUAAAAAUCUGGUAGUUAAUUUUAAUAAAUGUUUAUUUAUUUUGUA